rnacentral:misc_RNA from 1 species
CUGAGUUGUUGACACGAGUUGUUGCUGGUCCUCAAACAGGGGGACAUGUGCACGCUCUGUUCACACAUCCACUCACACCUGUGCACCCUCCGUAGUUCUGUGGUCUGGGGGACACACUGUCUUCCUCCCAUAGUUCUGCGUCUUUACACACACACCGUAGUGAAGUUUUAUGGAAUGUGCAUCGCGUUUAACGCAAUACAAUA